ACAUUUAUUUGAAUGACAAAGUUGACACAGCUCUUGUUUCUUUCCUAGAUGGUUGGCUUGACCACGCUUUCCAAUUUGAGGUGGGUCUGACGACACGGAGGUGUAGUGCUUACCAUUGUUUUACUUUGACUUCCUCACUCCGUAUGCCAAGUGUGAGAAACUGUUCAUCUCUCUCUAUCAUCUAUGUUUCAACUCUCUCUCUCGUCAUCUACCUUUCAUCCGUGUAUCUAUUUAUCUAUCUAACUUUCUAUAUGUCAAUCAAUCAUCUCAAUGAACCGCAAAUUAAGGAGUGAAGGGGUCAUCUCGUUAGUAUGUGUGUCUUGGGCAUGUCUUUAAAAAGACUCCAUUUUAGCUUUCUCAUUAUAAAAUGUGUCUUUUAAGCCAACUGUAGAAAGUAUGACUUAGUAUAAAGGGAAGGAGCUUUAUGGCAGGAAAUCUAAGGUAAGCCAUCUUUUAUGACUAGAAGUAAAUCCCUGGGUACAGGGGGAAAUCAGAGAUGUGGAAAUAAUAGGCGUGUGUAUAUGUAAGUAUGAGAUAUUCAUCUCACAGCGCCUGUCCUGUAGAGGGUGAUUUAAAAAUAUUAAAGGAAGGAAAAUGGUAUCCUGUCCCAGUUUUUUUUCCAACAAAUGGCAUAAACAGAUACCUGCAAUGAUUUAGGUCCCUACAAUGAUUAAGCACAUGUAACAGUGUAAUUUUACUUCUCAUAUAAAAGCAAAUAUUAUCCUGUCUCUCCUAGUUCUAAUUCUAAUUCCCCAAGUACAGCAUGUCCUUCUUAACUGUGUUCAUCACUUCUGCAAUUACUGUGAAUGUGGAAGUGCUAUUUAAACACAUUUUAGAGCAUUAUACUACUGUUAGCAUGAAUGUUAGCCACUCCUUUCCCUUCUUUUGGUUUUGAAUCCCAGAAACUAAAAACAACAUUGGACACUAGUGAAGUGAAGUUACCAGCAUAAUGCUGAGUAAACUACGGCAAGCCUUUGUUAACCCUAGUGUUGUAAUAAUGAGGUUCAGCAUUUGUUUUUUAAAAUUUCAAAAUCUGCGGUCUUUUAACAGAUGUUGGGCUUAGUUCAGUGUCCUUCACUGUGACGACUUUCCUUUCCAGUGGGUUACGUGUGCCAUGAUUGAGGAUCUGCCUGUGUUCUUCAAUGAAUGGACAGAAAUGUAGAUCCAGAAAAAAAUGUGCCUGUAAGUUCCUCACUAUUUUGGAAAUUGCCAAGUGGUUACUGUAGUGGAUUAUAGUAUUGUUUGCAAUUAUUUGUCCUUUCUUCUUUAAAAGGAUUAUCCAUCCCUGCUUUAGACCCCUUAUAGAUAGGUAAAUAUAUUUCCCUGACUCCCUGUCAGGCUUGGUCAUGUGAUUUUCAUUAGCCAAUGACAUGUGAGUAGACAAGGUAUAUGCCACUUAGGAGCAGAAGCUUUAAAUGUGAUGGUGUGAUUCUGCUUGGUCUCUUGCUCUUCUGCCCUCAUCCAAGAGAAAAGAAUUUCCCAGAUAGGAGCUGCUCCUUCAGCUGCAUCCUGGGAUGAGAAAAUAGCUGCGACAGCAGACUCAUAGCCUGCAUGUCUCAUGAGGAAGAAAUAAAUUGAUGAUGUAAGCCACUGAGGUUUUGGGGGAUUGUUUGUUAUGCAGUGAAGCUGACUAAUACAGUUACACAAGAUUUUGCUGAGAUUUGCACAGAUAAAACAAGGUAGGAUGUUAGUGCAAGAAGAUGUUAUAUUUCCAACUGGUAAGGGCUAGUUUAUAAACAUGAAAGAACACAUAGCUUACAUAACAUUUGUUGGAGAAUAUGCCCUAGAAAAUCAUGAUAUCACAGAUAUACACUAAAUAUCUGAAGGCAAUUAACGAGAAACAUUUCCAGCAGAUGAGUUCUUUAAUAAAGACAGAGCUUGUUUCAGAAUUGGUAUCUUCCUGAAUAUUUGGCUGCUUGGAAAAAGUUAUGUUGGUGCCGGGAUUCAGCCCUGGCCUGGACAGAGGUGGCCACUAGAGUCAUUAGCAUGGACAUCGGCACCAGUGACUACGUAGGUCCCAGGAUCGUAGCCAGCUGCCUCCGGAGAUCACUUGAGAGGUGCAGAGACUGUGGGGCAGCCCCUCAUUCUUGUCUGAGACAGUGACGCCCUCCCCACUGAGGAAUUACGCACAGUUAGCAGAGCUCUGAAAUGAAUGGCUUCAUUUAAUGAAAUCACAAAAGAAGGAAUACCAGCAAGACCACCCAGGCCCCAGCUCCAGUUUUUCCUGAAGAAUCUAGCCGCAUCUCCCUUUUUGAAGGCAGAGUUUCAUCUUGCCCCGGGGAGAAGGAACUUCCUGGGCAUGCCUGUUAAGAGACAAAAAUGGUGACGUGUGGUCACUACUCCACCAGAAAACGGAAGAAAGCCUCAGAGGGCCCUGCGUGGACCUUCCCCUAACCACACUCCGCAUGCUCCAUUCCAAAGGGUAAGGCGGGCACUGUGCAUGCAGGAAACCCACCCUGUACGGGAAGACUCCUGGGAAAGAGGCGAGCCUAUAAAGUCCCAGGAUCAAGGUUAAAGACCCUCUUUUUUUAACUGUCUUCUUUAGCUCUCUUUUCUCUCUUGGACCUUCAGGCGCCUGCUUGGGUCUCUUUCAAGCGAAUUUUCCUUUCUUUCCUGUUCUAAAGCCUUUUAACUAAACUUCCACUCCUGCUCUGAAACUUGCCCACUCUCUUUUUCUGCCUCAUGCCCCUCAGUCAAAUUAUUUCUUCUGAGGAGGUAGGGACUGAAGUUCCUGCGGACCCAUAGGGAUUCUCUGCUGAUAACUCGGGGUGACUCGGGUCUCUUCCCCUGCUGACAUAUGUAGCAAGUCCUGUCCUGGGCUGGCAGGCACCACGGCUGACACCGCAUGUGCAGAGAGAGGGGAAAGACCAGGCAGUGACUCACGACAUCACCCUCCUCUCUGGAAGUCAAGAUGUAGGUCUCAUCAGGUGCCCUGCAGUCUUCAGCGCUGGUCACAGCCAGAGCCCCUGCAAUGCAAACCAGGAUGAGGGAAAGCCACCGGAAGACGCCUACAGCGUUUUUUAUUAGUAAAUCCAGAGAACGUGUUAUAUAGAGCGUAUGGCAAUCACCA